GAUAGCCCAACCACAUUUUUCUUGGGCAUAUUGGAUGAAAUUUGGAACCUCUGUAGAGACUAUACACGACCAUGCACCUUAGGUGCCAAGUGCAGCAUGAAGGUAAAGCUUAAAAGCCUCUAAUUACAAGAGCUUGUGCAGAAUCUCAUCAAUGGAUUUUGGAGCGUCGUCAGCCGAUAUCCUCAACUGCGAUGUUUCCGCAUCUAGUCAAGCUUCACAAAUUGCACAUUGCCUCGAAAACUUGGAAUCUUCAGCAGCUAACGUCUCGGGGGGCACUCCUACAACAUGCAGUCAGAAUGGCACCCUUCAUAUUUCAUCUAUACCGACUUGGCUUUCCAACGGAAUGUUGGGCCCAAGCACCUCCGACACCCAGUCAACAGGUGCCCUGCCACCGGUAUCGGAGCUGCGACCGGGGCUUCGUGCCGGAGGUGGUUUGCAGCUGUGGGCACUUCUGGCGCAGAUGACCAACACUCAGACUAGCCCAGAGGCGCCUCGUGCUGCGACGACCUCGGAGAAGCAUAUCGAUGACAUGCAAGUCAGCUUAAGUCAAAAUGUUGCAACAUACCAUGUUGACGGCACUAAAAUUCACGACAUCAAUGAACAAUCUCAGCAUCAUGGUUACCAAACGGAAGCCACGUAUUCUUAUUGCGACAUCCAGAGGUCAAACCUUUCUCCUGCUGAAUCGUUGCCAUCUCUUGGAAUUGAUGUUCAGCACAUGGCGCCAACAGAGGCAGUGCUUGACGUAGACAAUAUCACAUCCGCUUACCAGCAAUACUCAUGCAUUCCACUCUUAAACAUUCCAAAUAACAGCGUUUCAUCCGAACAGCCGUCUUCACUAAAUGGGUUAUUGGAUGACGCCCUGUAUUGCACUGCAAAAUCUAAUUGUAACAUUCCAUGCUCACAACAGGUGCACACAGUACAAGAAGAAAGGCCAAGUAACAGCUCUUUGAAAGCAGCCAGUCACACAAACUCUAGUGAUAUGACAAGUAUGCAGCAUAUGGUACUAAACAAGCCAUCUUUCUCCGACACACAGAGGCAGCUUACGGCUGAGGGAGCCUCAAGCCUUUUAUGUGACUCAUUGAAUAAAACUGGAAAUUUAGUUCCUCCUCCAGCCUCCAUAUCUUCAAAGUUACCUCAGCCUGUUGCUUCUCAGGACCUGGACAACAGUAGAAGACAAGACCUUAUUCAAACCUCCAUUCCAAAAAGUGCGCAAAAUGAGCAAGCUGCACAAAAAACUGCUAAGAAGAAUUUUUCUGCUGCAAACCUUGUUGAACAGGUUGUCUGCUAUCGUUGCAAGGUUUGCCUUUUCCUCCAUGAAUCAAAAAUUGAAGCCAUUAAACAUGCAGAGUCCCAUCGUCAAGGCAACAAGAAAUGUGCCCCUGCUAUGCAGAGAAGGUCUGUACAACAAAGCUUUCAACAACCAAUAAAUCGUGCAGAGAAGCGAUUUCUUUGUGGCAAGUGCCGGCGUGGCUUUUUCACACUUGAUGAUUGUUGUCGUCAUUUAAGUCAAGCCCACCAGGCAAAGUCCAAAAAGAUACGCUUGGAGUGGAUAUACACCAACCAGCCUGACCAGAUGCGAGCUUCCACACCAGCUGAAGAGGUGACAUUACUUGAGCCUGCACCCUCCCAAGAUACUGCCCCAAAGCAGCCUGCACCUGCACUACCAGAGUUCAGAGCUGGGCCUCCAUGUCAGGUUGCCGUUGGUUCACUGAAGCAGGCUGUCAAGCCCAUUUGUACAACACCAAAGAAGAAAGAAGAGUGCCGUAAGACGUUGCCAUAUGAGACGAGUGACUCGGCAAUAUCCUCCUCGCAGAUGGCUUGGAGGCAAAAGAUCAACAGGGAACAGGGAAGCUUUAUCUGUGAGCGUAAGGGCUGCAAUGUUCGCUUCCGUGAGCUGGAAAAUCUGGAAUAUCAUAUUAAAUGUCACCGAGCUGACACACCAGACUUCGCCUGUCCUGAGUGCUCAGUGGUCUGUCUUCGAUGGCGCACCAUGACUGGGCAUCUUUGGAGGCACCACUUGUGUGACAUGGAGCUUCAUCAGUGUGACCAGUGCGACUUCCGCACGUACAGUCUGAGCAAGCUGGAAAACCUACACAAGCGCACUCAUGGGGAGGAGCGGCCUUUCCUUUGCGAUGUCUGCGGCAAAGGCUUUAAAACUGGAAAGCAGCUUCGAAACCACAAGGCAAUCCACAGGCAGGGUUCGGGCCAGUGGUCAGCUGUGGCAACAGCUCAGGGAAAUGGUAGCGCCAGCUCAUUGCCAGCAGAGGCAUGCUCUGAAUGUGGGAGGUGCUUCCGUGUACGACGCCUGCUUCAGCUGCACCGCGACUCCGUUCAUAGAAAGCUGCGCCCUUUCCUCUGUUCCUACUGUGGUCACCGGGCAUCAUCACAGAGCUCACUCAAGAUGCACCUCCGCCAGCACACCGGGGAAAAGCCAUUUGCUUGCAACCUCUGCGAGUACCGCACGGGUGACCACAACUCACUGCGCAGGCAUAAGAUGCGUCACUCUGGUACCAAGCCCUACAAGUGCCCUCACUGCCCUUAUGCCUGCAUCCAGUCCAGUACAUUCAAGAGCCACCUGCAUCGCAAGCAUCCAGGUCAAAGUGACAGCUUGCUCUUUGCAUGCCCUCUGUGUUCAUUCCGGACUGUGCGUGAAGACAACUACAAAGCCCACCUAUCUGAUCAUAGUUCUUCAGAGGCACAGUCGCUAAAUGGAGCCUCAGCACCAGCUUCUGCCGAACAGACGCCAAACCUUUCCUCGGCACUCACCUUGGGAGAUAUUGUUGGCUUUGCACAGUCUGCUUCAUGAACCACUACUACCUUCAAGCUAAGCUCUUUCUUUUGCUUCAAUUGUAUUUUUGGGCCUGUUCGCAACAUUUAAGAACCAUUUAAUAUCACAGAACGCUGCCAAAAUAACGAACACACCUCAGAUAAGUCUGCAUAACAUGUAAUACACACCACUGCAUCAGCAUGUCUGCUUAAUUCCAGAGCAAAACAGGCAGUUAUGCAUGACCUGCCGUAUUUUCGUCACCUUGUGUGUGCUUUGGGUGUCAGGAGGUCCAUCCCAGAGUUAAAGCAGACACACGUUAACUCAAUGCAUAGAAGUCCUUGAGCUAUGCGUGCUGUAGAACUAGAAGCAAGAUUUUCCACUUCCGUCGUACAGAAAUGCUGGUUAGUAUGGUUGUCGCACUUUAGCAGCUUUCCUAUUUUAGGUAAGCUCAUGGCUUUCUUUAUUCCUUUAGUUUUUCUCUUUCCCUCUCUGUGGUGAGAUGCUAAAGACAUGCAGUGAGAGGGUAAUGCUCUUUUCAAGAGCAUAUUAAGAAAAUGAAUUUUGUGGAAAGCUGCAAAAAUUCACACAGAAUUCACUUGAUCUUUUUUUUAAUAGCUUCCUACUACUGUAUAGUGGACGCCAACUUUUCCUUUCAUUACUGUGUUAUUGUAGAAAAAGCUGUCAGGAUGUGCGUAAUUCUUCAGUGUUCUUCAUUUGGUGUUACACAGCGGCUGUAUAGUCAAGGUUUAUAGCAAAGGCUGCAGCCAAUGUCCUCAUGGAAACCACCUUUAUGGCGCUGACACUGUUUAUUUAUCUACAUUCAUAGAACCUUGGUGUGGCUUGCCAUUCAUGGUGCCCUUUCUAUGAUUCUUCUGUUUCUAAUUGCUGCAUGUGCCUUGCUUUGAUAACACACCUUCAGAAAACUUGCAUGUGCUACAGCUCAGCUGCCUCCCUUGCUCACUGUGGAUGAGAGAAACCAUGUUUGUCAGAUCUGUGAUGAUAGUGCUGCUCCAUGGAAAACAGUGAGCAUUCAUUUCGCUUUCAGCAUUGUUGCUUUGUCUAAACUGUUAUCAGUUGCAGCACAAGGUAGCCACAGAAAGAAGGGGCUGUUACAAAUAGCAGUGCAUCACAGACUCUUUUUCUGCACUCCAUGAGUGCCAUACCCGCUCUGUUGUAGAGUGUCAUUGAAUGCAGUGUGCGCCUAAAUUGAAUGACUAGAGAGGGAGAAAAAAUGUGACACCCUCAAUCAAAAUGAUCACCCAAUUUUGAACAUAAGGAAAAAUUCUACUUCCACAGUUUUAGUAUACACCCUUUGACUUGCGCACAGAAAUCUUAUGAUUCCAAUCGAUUUUUUAGACCUGAUUGAUUAUUCGGAUUUCCUCGUGACACUGCCAUGUUUUCCAUUUAACUGCUGUAUAACAGCCUCUGAAAGUGUGGAUGCCAUAUGGUGUAACUCAAUUUUUUGGAGAUGAUGUGCAUCACAGAUAUGGUGGCCAUGAACAAAGUUGCUGCCAAUCAGGUUGUCCCCCAUGUGCCACUUUUGUUGGUGAUGUGAUUACAUGACUUUUAGAAUGCUGUAAGGCCGUCACUAGGAGAUUUUUGCCAGAGUGUCUGCACUAAAUUUUCCCCACGGGAUCCCAUCAAAGUGGGGCUAAUUAGGCGUAUGUGUGUAGGCAGUAUGGCCUUGACAAAAAUUUGCCGCCAGCUGAAAAGCAGCAAGCCAUCUCAAGAAGCUCGCCACUAGUAUCUUCGCACCAGUAGACCUAUUUGACAGUUGGACUUGUGAUCACGUGCACGGGCUAAACUAGCUGUUGAAGCAAAGAUCACAGAUCGCUGCCGAUCUGCUGCUGGCAACUACCAUGAACACGUGGCAAGUUUGUGUGCUUACUAGACAGAACAGCAAAAGCUUGCAUAUAGGCAGAGAGCUACAACUGAAUUUGCGCAACACAGUCUAACCCGAUUGCAUCAAACAGCCAGUCGCGCACAUUUGCCUGCACUUCACAAUAAUGCACAGCACACAUUUGACUGCGUGACAGGCAAUUUGGAAAUGCAUCUGCUGUCUCGACCAUCGCGGUAAGGAAAUUAUAGAAAGCGUGAGGUGUGCAUAUACAGUUCACUCUGCUAAGACUAGUGUAUCCUUGCAAUUUUCACACAGCUGCCCAGCAGGAACACCAGUGUGCGUGUGCACAGUUUUCAUACCGGCAGCAGACUGCCAAAUGCUCCACUGCAGAGCCGAUUAAGCAAAGUGUGAUGAUGUUUCAACUUUGUCUGUUUGUUGGUUUGCAGCCAAACUGACUGCACAUUGAUCACCCUUCUGGGAGGCGGGGAAUGACAUGCUUAUCAAAAGUUCAGUUCUCUGCACAGCCUGAACGCAUGAAACGUGAGCAGAUUGGACUGUUAGCAGCACUCUGCUAAAGCUGUCUAUUAUUUCAAUGAUGCAAUACAUGGGGGAAAAUUCAGCAAAUUUUUCCUACCCCUGGCAUUCUAAAGAGCAACCAAUUUGAUUUUACCAUUGAAGUCCCCCCCCCCCCCCUUUUUUUUUUCGGACUACCUGUUUAUUGAGACAUUUUUGCAGCCCCCUGCAAGUCUGAAAAAUCAGUCGGCGACUUUAUAUGCUUUCACAAGUCAUGCAGGAGCAUGGUAAGGCUUUGUCCACAAAUCGCACAUACCCAUGCACAAGUUUUAUGCUUGUCGAUGUAUUUGUGUAUCUGUGGCACAACUUCUAGCUCUGAGUGGAGCCGCAUGCACACUCAAAUAAUAAUAAAUAAAUAAAUAAUUAAAUAAAAUGUAUGACAAACACAUGGCAGUGCUUUCCAACCGUGGUUGAGAUGUUUAAAUCCAUCAGUGGAGGGCCUUAACAGUAGCUAGUCAUGCAAUAAAUAUUUGAACUACUAACUCCCAACUACUGUCUGUAUGGCAACAGGUCCUUGUGUUUGUAUGGAAAACCAGUUACAGUGAGGCAGUUUGUUAUUGUCAGCAUACCAUUUGCAGUGAACACACUGCAUUAGCCACACUGGUGCUUUGCAUCUGUUUGGUAGAUGCACCGGUUGCACACAGCAAUGGUGCGCAGCCUGCAUGGUGUCUUUUUGCGUGCAGGAAAAUCUUCUGUGGGGCAGGCCUAAUGCUAAUGACAGUUUACAGCAGCUAGUGUAACAUUGUUUUAUACUUCUAAUCUGCAUUUCAUUUUAGUAAAUCCCUCCCCUCCUUCCCCCAAAAGCAUGUAUCCGAGAAUCAAGUAAGUACAUAAGCAGAUUACUUAAUGAAAGAGCUCUCUUAUGGUUCAUGGACUAAAAUUCUAGAAGUUCUUGGCAUUUGGUGAGCAGAUUAAAUGCUGCAAACAACACCAUAUAUGAUAUCAAGGAAGGUAAUUAGAACAAGAAAAGGCUAGGUGAUAUGUUGGAAGCAGCUGAAGCAUUCCAUUUUGCCAUUCAUACUGUCUGAAUCUAACAUAGCUCUUGGCUCUACAGCUCUAUAAUAUGAAUUCUGUAAUUAUUGUGUGGAUUCCUAGUUUUAGUUGUAGCGUUAAAGUUGGGCCAUCCUUUAUAUUUCAGAUGUUUAAAAAAAAAGUGACAUGUACGCAACUGCUGCACACCAACAAUUUGCAUGUUUAUUCUGCAAUGGCUUUGCAACAACCUGAAGAAAUUAUCCCUGGAAAAUGUGACUAGUUCUUGCUGUCUGCUGUGAGGGGCACUCCACAAAAGCAGUUUUGGUCCUGCUUGCAGGGACCACAGUUUUUGCCCCUAGUCUAGAUUAUGUCUCUGUGGCAAACUGGAAUGCACUGGUUACUUUGUGGCCUGGGCACUGAGACACUGCAUGUGCUCGACUCUAAAUGCUCUGCAUUCUAUUUGCUUGGUAAGGACGCAACAGGCAUUGCUUGAAUAUUGGGCACUCUUGGCCAUCAUCUGAUGUUGACGAUGGAUUCACUGCUGUGUGGUACAUAGAACUGGUGCCACGUCAGCCAGGCUGCUGUGUGCUUUUGUCUGCUGUUCCUGACAGUUUCUUAUCUUGAUAUGAUCCAGUUCAUUCCAUACUGCGCCCUUUUGGUAUUUGAUGAGCCACAAACAGUGUCCCCCGAUUUUAUAGGGCAGGGCCAGUGUAGUGUAAGAAUUCCUUUCAUUCCAUUCUAUUCCUUUUUUUAUCAUCCACCGUUCACAAUUGGCAAUCACGGUGAUAAUGUGGGAGGAGUGUUGUUCAGACUACCGACAAAGCAUGAAAAGGAACAGCACUGAGAUAGAUUCAUUGCAUAAUCACAGCUCUAGAUGCCAAUGGAACACCCAAGUUUUUGCAAAGACCAGUAUAACCAGCUACCACAUAAGUCACUUUCCAGUUGAUUUAUAUCAUAGAGCUGAGGAAGCUGGCAGCAGGUUGUAAUUCUGGGGCUGUCACCCCAGAAAUUGUUACUAAGUUGCAGGAAUGACCAUCAGUGACAAAUUAAAUUGUAGUUAAAUUUGUCACAGUGUGAGAUGUAUAGGCAAGUGGGCUGUACCGGGAUAUUGUACUCAGGGGUAGUGGCUAUGUUGGUGUGGCAUUUUGAUUAUUUGUACAGUAUAGAAACACCGGGUCAAUGAGUGCUGUCUAUCGGCCUCUGAUCAUGUGUCCUGUAUUGCCGCACUGUACAUAUAUUUAGAGACAGGUUUGGUUGUAGAAUAUGUGAGAGGACCUGCAGCAAAGGUGGUUUACCUGAGGCCAUUGCUAGAGCCUGUGAUAGUAAUGGGUCUCCAAUUGUUCUUUCUGUUAGUUGAAGGGGUAACAGUUGAACGUGAGUAUCUCCCAGGCAGUGGGGUUCAUUAACAAAUGCUGGAAGUACCAGCCUACUGGAUGUAUUUGUUUUCUGGUGUAGCUGACCAUAUUGGUAGAUGUAAGUGUAGUCAUAUUUAAUUACUUAAUGCACUAGUGCAUCAUCCUUGGUUACAGCACUUGUGGUACUAGCUUCUUUUAUACCACUGUCUGUUAAUAGGGGCCCCAGCAAAAUGUGCUUGUGCCUAAGCAGUAGUUUCAGUUCUCCAGGAAAAGAGUCACCACCCAAGCACUUCAUACAGAUGGUUAACCAGCAAAGCUGAAACAUGUGGCCCCAGUGUUUAUCACUGGAAUAAUCCUGAUGGUUCAUUAAAUGACGGCUUGGUAGGCUGCUGGAUCCUCGGUAUGCAGUUGCUGCUUGUGCUGGGCUGCACGAGCCUGUUCUUGUGCCCGGAGUGCAGCAUCGGCACGGCACAGAUGAGCUCGUUCCUGGUUCAGCCCCGGGCGUUGCUGAUAGAAAGCUGCCUGCUCCUCAGGAGUAUAUAUGACACGUGGCCUACCCAUUUCAGAGCUGGAGAGAAACUGCUGUGCACGCGCUCGGCUGCGACGGAGAGCAACGAUGUCAGUACUGGCGCAGCUAAUCCAACACCACCUAGUUAGCACAGGGCCUUUUCACUCCAUGACGUCAUGUUAUCUGGCCUGACUGCCAUAAAAUCUAAUAGGGAUGCUCCCUAGUAGGCAACAGUAAUUUUGACGUCACUGCUUUCAUCACGCCAGCCUUGUCAAUAAAAACUUCAGGCCAAGUAGCGUGACGUCAUGGAUUGGAGUAAACAGGCCUUGUGCUAUCUAGGUGGUGUUGGCUAAUCAUGCGCCUCUCUCUUUCUCUUUCUUUUUUCAUGCACAUGAGGUUGCACUGGAGGAGUUUUCGGUGCACAGGCGACCUAUAGACGGACAGAUGAAUCGGCUAGCCAUAUACAGCUUCACAGUAACAUAGGAAGGAUUUCCAGAGUACUAUUCAUUAGAGUUUUAUCUCAGCACCUUGGUUGAUCACACUUCAUCUGUUUUGAAUUCUCUACAUGCGGUUAUUUCAUGCUCUCACUGCCUUCGGAAGCUGAUGCUACUUAAUUGCAGGUAGUUCUCAUGGUGGUAGUUCAGUGUUUAGUGUUCUCAAAGUGGCGACCUCUGUGUGCAAUGUAAUGUCCGUGUAAUUUUGUCGGCUUGAAAAACUAAUUAUUUGACUGCGCCAAGUUUUUUUAUGUUGGAAUGGGAAACGUAAACAUGAGAACAUUUGACAGAAGUUUCUUUGCUUGUAAACUUGGUCCUUGGCUUUUUAGCUCACAUCACAGUACAUUUGGCUUACCUAUCUUGCUAUGUGACGUAACUCUGUCUUCUACCAGGUGUCACUAUAUUAGUCACUAAGCUGAUGGACACACUUAAACUUUAAAGCUUUCAUGCUCUCUUAUCCCUUUAUGCUCAGUGUGUGUACGGCUUUUGACAAGUUAGCUAUCAGUUCAACAGAGCUGAAGAGUGAUUGCAGUGACCUGUACAAUAAAGUCAUUAUUUGUUGUUUGUUUCAUUGUUUUAAACAUGCAUUUUAGCCUUGCUUCUGGUGACAAUCUAACUUCUGUGCUGUUGUGUGAGAUUUACCCACCUGUUUUUUCGUGUACUUUUGCUACGAAGCUUUUUAAAGAGAGUGUUUGCAUACCAGGCUGGUUUUAGCCAAGUAGAUCGGAUCUUUCUUUUAUUUUGCAUCAUUUUGUGAAGUAAAUUGUUUCAGUUGCGGUUAAAUUGUAACUAAUAGUUGUAGACACAGAGGUUUAGAAGAUCAGGACAGCUCAUUUAAUUCAAGGCAAGUCCUUUUGAAUUUGGGAAAAUCUGUAGAAACCCCUGCAAGGUUUUUACUGGCUACACGAAAUGAGGGCUUACAUGCCACACAUUCAGUUGAUGGUGUAAAGCAGACACAGAGGUGUUUUGCAGUAGAGGAAAAAAGAAUUUAGUGAAAGGUAAACUUGUAUACUGCCACAAGAGCUUGACUUAACUGGCAGUGAUGAUGUACACAUUAAUGUCAAGAGGCCAAAGAAAGGCGGCACCUUGCCCUGCAUAAAUUCAGUUUUUACCAAUGCUGUUAUGAACUUUUUUUGUGUGUGUUUGAUCAAAAGUAUUUUUUGAUGCAAUGUUGAGCCUUAGAAGUUGGUUUAGUUCAGUCUGGUGGUUUGAACAUCAUAGGCUCUUGUGCUAAUCCCUGCCUUUAUAAGAGUGGUAGUCAUCUCAAAUAGCAACUAAGAGGACAGCUCUUGCCUUUGUUUGUUUCGAAUCAGGAGAUGUGUGCUGUUUUAAAUUAGAUUCAGUAGUUUCUGCUAGCAUUUUAUACCACAAAAUUGCGUCGCUUAAUCGGUUUUGAAGGCAGCUAUGUGUGUAUUUUUUUUCACAGUGUCAAAAGAAAUGCAUUUCUUGGCGAAGGCUUGAUUAUUUUUGUCAAAAGUCUAAUUGAGCUAUGUUGGAAAUGUUUCAUAGAAAAAGGGAUUCUGCUACAGUGAGCACUAUUGGUACUAGCGAUGCUGUUUGUAGUUCUUGUGCUUGGUCUUUAUGUAAGAAUGUUGAUAUUGUGGGCACCAUAUGUGUUUUUGAUCCCCUUUACUAUUUCCGUGGUGUUUUUAGUUGCUUUUGUUUUUAGUUGCACUUUACUGCGUAUCUUUGCAAAGGUGAUUCAUGGAGUCUCAUAUCUUCAUUGACCUAGUCCUUUUGUGCAACUGAAUUGUGAUCCAAGUGCCUUCAAGUAACAUUUGUCAUGUACUGUUUUUAUUAAACUGCGGUGACUUGUGGCUGAA